rnacentral:lncRNA from 1 species
GAGUGGUUGUAUCAACAAAGCUGUUCAAUCUUUGCACCCAGAGGUUGCAGUAAGUCUGGAUGCCACAUCAAACUGUUUGUGGUACUUCUAAACUUCGUGGAAGAGCCCUGUUUCAUAAAUCUGAGACAGCCUUGGUCUGAGGGAGCAAAGACAGAGAAUUCACGUGCUGCCCAGGCAUAGCCACAUAGCAGGUGGACAUCCCUGGACACUUUUCUGAGAUUUUAUGUCAUAGACCCUCAUUGGAUUUUCCUGGAAGUACGGAGAGUUACAUCCAGAGAACUCUGAACAUUUUGGAAGGACCCCAAUCCUGCAAACAAUGAAUGGCAAUAAAUCCUGGGACUGGAAAGGGGCUUCUCAACCCCAAGGCAACCAUAAAGUCCUAUACAAAGAAAGAUACAGCAGUGUGAAAGAGGCCUGGAUGAAAAAACAAAGACAGAGCCAGUGAGCCAGAGCCAGAGCCAGAGGACAAGAGAGAAAGGCAGAGAAUGGAAAACACAGACAGAGAAGGCAGAUGCGUAGAGAGACAGAGAUUCAAUGAGAAAAUAAGGAAGGAAGAAAGAAAGAAAACAAAAACGUUCUCAGCACUACAACUUCUGCCUUGUUCUGUUCCAGAACAGUAUGAGCUCAGUACUUUUUCAGACUCUCAAUUUUCUACAACUAAUAAUUUGCUCUUUCAGUUAGUGGCAAAGGCUUAACGACAAAGGUUCAUCUUUAAUAUUAGAGAGGCACUUUUAAAAUUUAUGAUGCUAAGCCUUUUGUUCUGGAUAUGGUAUGUUGCACAGGUCUAGGGACUGGGAUUUCAGAUGUCUAUUCCGUACCCUUAUUCUUUUAUUUAUUAAAUCUUUUAGUGUGUAUUUUUUUCUAUUUUCUCUUCUUUUAUUAGUAUGUAUUUCUUGAGUCAUUAACAUACAACAUAUAUAGGACUUCCUCUGAGGAUACAAUAAUGUAUAUGAUGGACAAGAUACGUAAAAGUGCCUUGAAGAGACUUGGUCUUGUGAGGGGACAGACAGGAAACAGGCAAUUAUCACCUAACUUAGGUCUGUUGUUUCAAGGUAAAAUAAGAAUAAUAACAUCUGUGUUGGCUGGGAUGUUGUGAGUGUUUGUGGAGAUAAUAGUACAAAUGAAAUUACUGAGGGACAAUGGUGAAGAUAGGGCCAUAUCAUGGAGCUUACACUAGUGAUGGAAGGAGAUGGGAGAUACAAAAGCAAGUCAAUAUUUCAGAUUUCGUAAAUGAAUGGCAAGCAUAGAGCAGUGAGGCAGAGAAUGACUGGAGAAAGAGACUAUGUUAAACUGGAUAGUAAAGGAAGAGCAGGACCCCACUAAACUAUAUGGAGUUUUGUGCAAAUCACAUGAACACACGUAGAACAUUUUAGGCUGCUCAUGUGACUUUGGAUUUGUCCUAAGGGCAAUAGUAAGCCUUUGAACUGCUUUAGCAUGAUAGGAUUUUAAAAGAUCACUGGCUGCUGUGUGAACAAAAAUAAUGUUGUAAAGAAAAGGAUAUUAGCUGUAUCAGAUCAGCUGGAGACUACUGAAAUAACCCAAGCUGGCUUGGACUACAUAGGAGUAGUGUAAACUCAUUCAUUCAUGCAAGAAAUACUUACUGAGUGCCUACUCAGUACCAGACCCUUUUCUAGGACAUGGAGUUAUAGCAGUGAACAAUAUAGAAAAAAAUCCCCGAAUUCAUGGAGACUCCAGUGAGCAGAGACAAAAAAAUAGCAACUAAAUAAGUUAAAAGGAAUUGAGUACCCUAUAAAAGUUUAUCAGGGAAAUGUUAUAAGGAAUGACUUUCGGAGUAAUGGGUAGUGAUCUUAAAUGUAUGGUCAAUGAAAAUCAGAAGUUGUAGAGAAGUGGAUAAAUUCACAGUACGUUUUAAAGUAGACCUAAUAAGACUUAAUGAAUUUGAUGUGGCAAGUGAGAAAAAUACAUCAAGGAUGAUGACUUUUAUAAUUUGACUUGAGUAUCUGGGAACAAACAAGUACAGUGCCAUAAUAAGGGCAGAAAAUUUUCCAUUCACUCAGCAACUUAUGAACUCAUUUGCUUAGUCUUUAUUGCCUCUUGCAUUAUGUAGUUUUCACUUUGCUGGAGUACUUGUAUAGAAGAUCACCAGUGAAGAAGCCAGAGAUGGUUUAUUUGGUCAUCCCAAUAAUACAUCUUAUUGUUAAUUAACUCUCAAGGGUUUUUUUUCACAAUUUUAGAAAAGGUUUAAGCAAAUGAAUUAUUUAACAUGAAUUGGCUAUGUGACCCUACUAUAAGGUGUUUAAAACACCAACAGCUUAAACUUCUUAGAUCAAAGGACAUCCUCCAGGCCAAAAUGUUUCCACUGGAACGGUUUCUUUGCUUCCUGAUUAAAAGCUUCCCUAAUAUAUUUCCACGUGUUAUUACAUAUUUUCGUAUUCACUUUGAUGGAAAGCAAGAAUAGCAGCCAAAUACAUAUUUCAUGCAUUCUUUUGAUUAAAAAUGAUAAAGGUAA